CUUAUACGCCCUUCGGGGGAAAGAUUUAUCGGUGAAAGAUCGGCCCGCGUUAGAUUAGAUAGUUGGUGGGGUAAUGGCCUACCAAGUCUACGAUCUAUAGCUGGUCUGAGAGGAUGAUCAGCCACACUGGGACUGAGACACGGCCCAGACUCCUACGGGAGGCAGCAGUGGGGAAUCUUGCACAAUGGGCGAAAGCCUGAUGCAGCCAUGCCGCGUGAAUGAUGAAGGCCUUAGGGUUGUAAAAUUCUUUCGCUAGGGAUGAUAAUGACA
rnacentral:rRNA from 1 species